AACGAACGCUGGCGGCAGGCCUAACACAUGCAAGUCGAGCGAAUGGAUUAAGAGCUUGCUCUUAUGAGGUUAGCGGCGGACGGGUGAGUAACACGUGGGUAACCUGCCCAUAAGACUGGGAUAACUCCGGGAAACCGGGGCUAAUACCGGAUAACAUUUUGAACCGCAUGGUUCGAAAUUGAAAGGCGGCUUCGGCUGUCACUUAUGGAUGGACCCGCGUCGCAUUAGCUAGUUGGUGAGGUAACGGCUCACCAAGGCAACGAUGCGUAGCCGACCUGAGAGGGUGAUCGGCCACACUGGGACUGAGACACGGCCCAGACUCCUACGGGAGGCAGCAGUAGGGAAUCUUCCGCAAUGGACGAAAGUCUGACGGAGCAACGCCGCGUGAGUGAUGAAGGCUUUCGGGUCGUAAAACUCUGUUGUUAGGGAAGAACAAGUGCUAGUUGAAUAAGCUGGCACCUUGACGGUACCUAACCAGAAAGCCACGGCUAACUACGUGCCAGCAGCCGCAGUAA
rnacentral:rRNA from 1 species